AUUGAACGCUGGCGGCGUGCUUAACACAUGCAAGUCGUGCGGUAACAGGCGUAGCAAUACGUGCUGACGAGCGGCGAACGGGUGCGUAAUACAUGGGAAUCUGCCUUUUAGUGGGGAAUAACCCGGCGAAAGCCGGGCUAAUGCCGCAUAAGAUCUUCGGAUGAAAGCGGGGGAUCGUAAGACCUCGCGCUGAUAGAUGAGCCCAUGCCGGAUUAGCUAGNGGUGAGGUAACGGCUCACCAAGGCGACGAUCCGUAGCUGGUCUGAGAGGACGGCCAGCCACACUGGGACUGAGACACGGCCCAGACUCCUACGGGAGGCAGCAGUGGGAAUAUUGGACAAUGGGGGAAACCCUGAUCCAGCGACGCCGCGUGUGUGAAGAA
rnacentral:rRNA from 1 species